GAUGUUUAAUGCUAUAAACAUACAUACCCCUUAGCACAGCUGUUGCUGUAUGUUAUAGAUAUUGUUAUGUUGUGUUUCCAUAUUCAUUUUAUUUCAAGAAUUUGUUUUUUAAUUUCUUCCUUGACCCAAUAGUCAUUCAAGAGCAUGUUGUUUAAUUUCCAUGUGCUUGUGUGGUUUCUAAGAUUUCUCUUCUUAUUGAUUUAUAAUUUUAUUUCUUUGUGUUCAGAAAAAAUACUUGAUAUAAUUUGGACUCUUGAAUUUGUUGAGACUUGUUUCCUGACCUAGCAUAUGAUCUGUUUUGUAUAAUGUGUAUAAUGUUUCACAUCCUGUUGAAAAUAGUGUGUAUUCUGCACCAGUUAGGUGAAAUAUUUUGUCAAUUUAAGUUAGGCCUAUUUAGUCAAGUGUGUAACUUAACUCUGAUGUUUCUUUGUUGAUUUUCUGUCUGGAUGAUUUGUUUAUUACUGAAAGUGUAAUGUUAAUAUCCCCUACUAUCAUUGUAUUAGAGUCCAUCUCUCUUUUCAGAUGUGUUAGUGUUUGCUUUAAAUACUUGAAUUCUGUGUUGGGUACACAGAUACCUGUUUGUUACAUGCUGUAGCAAGAUUGACUUCUUCAUUAGAUAGUGACCUUUGUAGCUUUUUAUAGUCUUUGACUUGUAGCCUAUUUUAUCUGAUAUAAGUAUAGCUACUCCUGUUCCUUUGGUUUCUAUUUCCUUGUAAUGUGUUUUUCCAUAUCUUCACUUUUGGUCUGUGUUUUUCUUUAUAGAUGAUGAAGCAGUUUUCUUCGAAGGCAGCAUAUAGUUUGGUCUUGUUUCUUUAUUCAUUCAGCCACUCUAUAACUUUUUCUUGGUGAAUUCAAUACAUUUACAUUCAAAGUUCUUAUUGAUAGGUAAGGAUUUACCAAUGCCAUUAUUUACUUGUUGUCUGGUUGUAUUGAAUCACCUUUCUUUCUUUCUUCCUCUAUUACUGCCUUUUUUUUUUUUUUUUUUUGGUUAAGAGAUUUUCUCUGAAACUAUGUUUUAAUUCAGUGCUUUUUUUUGGUAUAUUUAUGAUAUGUUUUUGCUUUGUGGUUAUUGCGAGACUUAGAAAAACAUGUUAAUGGUAUAACAAGUUAUUUAAACAAAUGACAACUUUUCUUUGACUAUAAAGAAAAACUAGAAAUAAACAACGACAAAAAAAAAAUUUAAUUUUGCAUUUCAGCUCCACCCCCAACCCCUGCUCCUUUUGGCCUAUUUUUUGGCAUCAAUUCAUGUAAUCUUAUAUUGCCUAUCUCUUAACAGAUUGAUGUCGAUAUUAUUGAUUUUGAUAGAUUUGCCUUUUAGUCUUCGUAAUAAAAUUAUGAGUGGGUUACACACAUAAUUAUAGUGUUAGAAUAUUUUGAGGUUUUUUUCAGUAUUUACUUUUACCACUAGGUUUUAGACCUUCAAAUGGUUUAUAUUUGCAUAUUAGGUUUUUUUUUAAUUUUUUUUUUUUUUUUUUGCUUUUUUUCAGAUUGAAUAACUCUGCAGCAUUUUUUAAAAGAUGGGUCUGGUGGUAAAGAAUUCCUUCAGCUUUCGUUUGGAAAAGACUUUAUCUCUCCUUCAUGUUUGAAAGAUAGUUUUUCAAGACACUAAAUUCAUGUUUGGCAGUCUUGUUUUUUAGCAUGUUGAACAUGCUAUCCUAUUCCAUCCUUAUGGUGGAAUGUUACUUAUUAAGAAGCUUUUUUUCCAGACAAAUUGGAGCCCCUUUAUAUACGUGCUUCUUGUCUGUUGCUGCUUUUAGAAUCCUCUCUUUUCUCUUGACAUUUGAGAGUUUGAUUAUUACAUUGCUUCAUGUAGUUUUAUUUGUGUUUAAUCCGGCAAUCUCUUACCUUUCUAUGUCUGGAUAUUUACAUCUUUUUCAAAUUUUGUAACAUUUUCUGUUAUUACUCUUUGAAUACAAUUUUUAUUCCUUGCUCUUCCUCAGCUACAUUUUGAAUACUAAUAAUUCUUUUUUUUUUCUUUUCUUUUUUUUUUUUUUUUGAGAUGGAGUCUUGCUCUGUCACCCAGGCUGGAGUGCAGUGGCGCGAUCUUGGCUCACUGCAACUUCCACCUCCCAAGUUCAAGCCAUUUUCCUGCUUCGGCCUCCCAAGUAGCUGGGAUUACAGGUGUGUGCCACCACACACAGCUUAUUUUUGUAUUUUUAGUAGAGACAGGAUUUUGUUAUGUUGGUCAGGUUCAUCUCGAACUCCUGACCUUGUGAUCCGCCUGCCUCGGCCUCCCAAAGUGCUGGCAUUACAGGCGUGAGCCACCGUGACCAGCCAAAUCCUAAUAAUUCUUAAAUUUUUUCUUUUGGGGUAAUUAUCUAUAUCCUGCAUGUGUUCUUUAUUCUUUUUCAUUUGCUUUUCUUCUCUGUGUAUUUUAUAGUAGCCUGUCCUCAAGCUCAGUAAGACUUUCCUCUGAUUCAUCCAUUUUGCUGUUGAAAGCCUGUAAUAAAAUUUUCAGUAUAGCAAAUAUACUUUUUACUUCCAAGAUUUCUGUUUUAUAUUUUAAAUUAUUUCAAUCUUCGUUACAUUUCUCUGAUAAAUUUCUGUUGCUUUCCUUUUUUAUUUUGUGGAUUAUUGAGUUUCCUUAAAUAUGCUAUUUUGAACUUUUGAUCAGACAGCUUGCCUUUCAUAUUCCCAUUACAAUAAUUCUCCGUCUCCUCGUUUGUCUGGGGAGGUUUGGGUUUUAUAGUUCUCUGUUUUAUAUUGUUAUUCUGCGUUUACUUCUAUGUCUUCACAUUUGAAGGAUUAGUUAUUUAUUCCAGUUUUCUCUGGCUUGUUUCGAUUUUUGGAUAUGUUUGUAUAUAGAUUUAUUUGCAAUAUACCUGUUGAAUGUAUUUUUCCAAGAUCACUGCCGCCUCUUCAGCACUAGAUGGCACCUUAACCCUGCGUUUACCUCAGCUCUAGCAAAGGUAAGAGCAUUGCCUAGCCUGAAUGGUAGAAGUCCCCCAGGGAAUAUUCCGGCAGUGUGGGAAAACUGGCUAGGAGUUUGUGCUUAUAGGACUUGUGAAACUUACUUUUUUUUUUUUUUUUUUUUUUUUUUUGAGAGGGAGUUUCGCUCUUGUCACCCAGGCUGUAAUGCGGGAGUGCAGUGGCGCCAUCUCGGCUCACUGCAACCUCCACCUCCUGGGUUCACGUAAUUCUCCUGCCUCAACCUCUCCAGUAGCUGGGAUUACAGGCACACGCCACCAAACCCGGCUAAUUUUUGUAUUUUUAGUAGAGACAGGGUUUCAUCUUGUUGGCCAGGCUGGUCUUGAAUUCCUGACCUCAAGUGAUCUGCCUGCCUCAGCCUCCCAAAGUGUUGGGAUUACAGACGUGAGCCACUGAGCCCGGCCUGAAACUCAUCUCCUAUAGCUUGGUGCUGCUAGACAGCCACUCUGUUUUAACUUCUUCUUUGGCCAAAACACAGAGGAAAGUUUUCCUGCCUGGAGAUACUAGUCCUACCUUCUCCCCUGUAUCUAGCUGUCUUCAAGAAGUUUUCUCCCUUCAGGCCCUCACAAUAAUUCCUGUGUGUUAAGGCAGGGAUAGAUUUUCUAUCAGGGAAUAAAAGAUGUAGAAGCUGGUGUCUACCUGGAUCUACGUUUUCUGAUGUAGUUAUCUGAUGAGUUGGGAGUGGGAGGACAUUCUCCAAGCUUGGUGCCUGGCAGACUGGGGAAAGAAUGUUGCAGAUAUGGAAGUCUGAUUCUCUUACCAUAUGCUCCUAGUUUUUUCAUUUCUCUGUGUUCCAGGGAACUCUUUUCCUCAUAUUUAAGUUCUGGAAUAUUGCUGGUGAUAAUUUUGGCAAUGUAUAUUUGGUUUUGAUUUUCUGUAGUUGGGGUGGUGGGUAGUAAAGCCAGCUAGCUUCUACUUUGCCAUUUUGGCUUAUUAUAGGUCUUUUUAGAUUUUCUGUUUAUGAUGAGUAAAUUUUGGUAGCUUGUAUUUCUAGAAAUAUGUGCAUUGCAUUGAAGUCAUUAAUAAAAGUUGUGUAACUCUCCCUUGUAGUCCUU
rnacentral:lncRNA from 10 species